rnacentral:tRNA from 1 species
GACCCACUCGCUUAAUCGGUAAAGCAACUCCCUUCAUAAGCACCUUGGCAUAGGGUGUUUAUGAAGGAGUAGCUCUGAGUUCGAGUCUCAGGUGGGUCA